rnacentral:lncRNA from 1 species
GGUUGCUGGGCUUUCUUUGUGCAGGGUGGCGACGGGACCCACUCUUCAGGCUUUCUUGGGGUGGGAGGUGGCGGCUAUCAGGAGAAGCUGCUGGACCACAGGUUGAACCGAAACACCCGCGGUGCGGCCGGCCAGAGAAGGAACCCUCCAGAUGCCAGGGCCGGCUGCCCAGAGUCUCGCCUGGGUCUCCCUCUCAGCGACUCUCCCGCUUCCGGUCUGCAAGCGAAGAAAUGUUCUUCCUCUCUGGAUCGGGGGUCUUUUAAAAAUCUCCGUCCUCUAGUCACCAGCAGAUCCCUUGCUCCGUCUGGAGAGUGCGCUGAGAUCAGAGGCGGGCUUCCCGUGGGCGCACGGUCUCGGCCGACGUUUCCCCGCGAGCUCCCCGGUCGUCUGCUUCCGGCCUCGCCAUUCAGGCGGCCCCUCGGUUCGACGGUGCGGUCACCGGGACGGCGUUAUCGGACAAGCCUUGGCCCAGGGUUUGCGGCGACUGGGCGGCAGCUGGCGGGCGCUAGGGCGGGCUACGCGGAGAACGGCGCACCCGCCAGGGCGCACAGUGCGGGGCGCGCGGAGCUCAGCGCAUGGCGCCUUCAAUACCAUGGACAGGUCGCACGAUCCCGGCGCACAGCCUGCCCUGCAGCCAGUCCCCGGGGCAUCAGGCCGCUCUCCCCAGCUGGGUCUUCUUGCUGGAGCGUCCACCUGGCCUCCUCCAGACCCACCUCUCCAGCGACGCCUCCGCCUCACUCCAUCUGGCUCCCGGGUAUCCCCGGGAAAGUGCUGCCCAGGUGCAAAGAAAAUGCUGCAGGCACCGAGGAAAACAGCGGCCCCGGCCCUUCAAAACAAUCCGCCCCCUUCUCCCGCCACCUGAGCCUUGGUACUCUGGCACCCCGUCUGCUCUGCCCAACUGGGGUCAGCCGCUCUCAGAUUGCACCAUUUUCUUCGCAGCCCACCCAGGAGCCGAGAUGCCGGUUCACUCGGCAGAGUGAAGAGAAUCCUAUCCUGGCUUCGGUGUCCCACGAUCAGGCUCCCGAUGAGCAGUGGUCGCUGAGGUGA